rnacentral:rRNA from 1 species
AGGAAAUUUGAGAGGAUCUGCCCUUAGUACGAGAGGACCGGGGUGGACGUACCGCUGGUGUACCAGUUGUCUCGCCAGAGGCAUGGCUGGGUAGCUAUGUACGGAACGGAUAAGCGCUGAAGGCAUCUAAGCGUGAAGCCCCCCUCAAGAUGAGAUAUCCCAUUCGAAAGAAGUAAGACCCCUUGAAGACGACGAGGUAGAUAGGGCAGAGGUGGAAGUGCGGUAACGUAUGGAGCUGACUGCUACUAAUAGGUCGAGGGCUUGA